rnacentral:rRNA from 1 species
AUUGAACGCUGGCGGCAGGCCUAACACAUGCAAGUCGAGCGGAUGAAGGGAGCUUGCUCCUGGAUUCAGCGGCGGACGGGUGAGUAAUGCCUAGGAAUCUGCCUGGUAGUGGGGGAUAACGUCCGGAAACGGGCGCUAAUACCGCAUACGUCCUGAGGGAGAAAGUGGGGGAUCUUCGGACCUCACGCUAUCAGAUGAGCCUAGGUCGGAUUAGCUAGUUGGUGGGGUAAAGGCCUACCAAGGCGACGAUCCGUAACUGGUCUGAGAGGAUGAUCAGUCACACUGGAACUGAGACACGGUCCAGACUCCUACGGGAGGCAGCAGUGGGGAAUCUUGGACAAUGGGCGAAAGCCUGAUCCAGCCAUGCCGCGUGUGUGAAGAAGGUCUUCGGAUUGUAAAGCACUUUUAGUAGGGAAGAAGAGCAGUAAGUUAAUACCUUGCUGUUUUGACGUUACCAAAAGAAUAAGCACCGGCUAACUUCGUG